rnacentral:rRNA from 1 species
UCAGGCCUAACACAUGCAAGUCGAGCGGUAGCAGGAAGUGCUUGCACUUCGCUGACGAGCGGCGGACGGGUGCGUAACACGUAGGAAUCUGCCUGGUAGUGGGGGAUAGCCCGGAGAAAUCCGGAUUAAUACCGCAUACGCACUAGCUCUUUAUGAGCGGUGGAAAGGAGGGGAUCGGUUCGCCGACCUUUCGCUAUCGGAUGAGCCUGCGUCGGAUUAGCUUGUUGGUGGGGUAAAGGCCUACCAAGGCAACGAUCCGUAGCUGGUCUGAGAGGAUGAUCAGCCACACUGGGACUGAGACACGGCCCAGACUCCUACGGGAGGCAGCAGUGGGGAAUAUUGCACAAUGGGCGAAAGCCUGAUGCAGCCAUGCCGCGUGUGUGAAGAAGGCUCUAGGGUUGUAAAGCACUUUCAGUGGGGAGGAAAGGUUGAAGGUUAAUACCCUUCAGCUGUGACGUUACCCACAGAAGAAGCACCGGCUAACUCCGUGCCAGCAGCCGCGGUAAUACGGAGGGUGCGAGCGUUAAUCGGAAUUACUGGGCGUAAAGCGUGCGUAGGCGGCCACCUAAGUUGGAUGUGAAAGCCCCGGGCUCAACCUGGGAACUGCCUCCAAAACUGGGUGGCUGGAGUACGGGAGAGGAGUGUGGAAUUUCCUGUGUAGCGGUGAAAUGCGUAGAUAUAGGAAGGAACACCAGUGGCG